rnacentral:rRNA from 1 species
CAGCCGCCACGGUAAUACGAAGGGGGCUAGCGUUGCUCGGAAUCACUGGGCGUAAAGGGUGCGUAGGCGGGUCUUUAAGUCAGGGGUGAAAUCCUGGAGCUCAACUCCAGAACUGCCUUUGAUACUGAAGAUCUUGAGUUCGGGAGAGGUGAGUGGAACUGCGAGUGUAGAGGUGAAAUUCGUAGAUAUUCGCAAGAACACCAGUGGCGAAGGCGGCUCACUGGCCCGAUACUGACGCUGAGGCACGAAAGCGUGGGGAGCAAACAGGAUUAGAUACCCCAGUAGUCCCUGUCUCUUAUAC